AAGGGCCAUCGCUCAACGGAUAAAAGCUACCCCGGGGAUAACAGGCUUAUCUCCCCCAAGAGUUCACAUCGACGGGGAGGUUUGGCACCUCGAUGUCGGCUCAUCGCAUCCUGGGGCUGUAGUCGGUCCCAAGGGUUGGGCUGUUCGCCCAUUAAAGCGGUACGCGAGCUGGGUUCAGAACGUCGUGAGACAGUUCGGUCCCUAUCCGUCGUGGGCGUAGGAAAUUUGAGAGGAGCUGUCCUUAGUACGAGAGGACCGGGAUGGACAUACCUCUGGUGUACCAGUUGUCGUGCCAACGGCAUAGCUGGGUAGCUAUGUGUGGACGGGAUAAGUGCUGAAAGCAUCUAAGCAUGAAGCCCCCCUCAAGAUGAGAUUUCCCAACUUCGGUUAUAAGAUCCCUCAAAGAUGAUGAGGUUAAUAGGUUCGAGGUGGAAGCAUGGUGACAUGUGGAGCUGA
rnacentral:rRNA from 1 species